rnacentral:rRNA from 1 species
UGGGGAAUUUUGCACAAUGGGGGAAACCCUGAUGCAGCGACGCCGCGUGAUUUAGAAGGCCUUCGGGUUGUAAAAAUCUUUUUUACGGGAUGAAAAUGACAGUACCGUAAGAAUAAGGUCCGGCUAAAUACGUGCCAGCAGCCGCGGUAAUACGUAUGGACUGAGCGUUGUCCGGAAUCAUUGGGCGUAAAGGGUACGUAGGCGGCCUAGUAAGUUAGAAGUGAAAUAAUAUAGCUCAACUAUAUAAAGCUUUUAAAACUGCUAGGCUUGAGAGAUGGAAGGGAAAGUGGAAUUCCUAGUGUAGCGGUGAAAUGCGCAGAUAUUAGGAAGAAUACCGGUGGCGAAGGCGACUUUCUGGUCAUCAUCUGACGCUGAGGUACGAAAGCGUGGGUAGCAAACAGG